rnacentral:rRNA from 1 species
AACGAACGCUGGCGGCAGGCUUAACACAUGCAAGUCGAACGCAUCCUUCGGGGUGAGUGGCAGACGGGUGAGUAACGCGUGGGAACGUGCCCUUCAGUUCGGGAUAACCCAGGGAAACUUGGGCUAAUACCGGAUACGUGCGAGAGCAGAAAGAUUUAUCGCUGAAGGAUCGGCCCGCGUCUGAUUAGCCAGUUGGUGGGGUAACGGCCCACCAAGGCGACGAUCAGUAGCUGGUCUGAGAGGAUGAUCAGCCACAUUAGGACUGAGACACGGCCCAAACUCCUAUGGGAGGCAGCAGUGGGGAAUAUUGGACAAUGGGCGCAAGCCUGAUCCAGCCAUGCCGCGUGAGUGAUGAAGGCCUUAGGGUUGUAAAGCUCUUUCGUCCGGGACGAUAAUGACGGUACCGGAAGAAGAAGCCCCGGCUAACUUCGUGCCAGCCGCCGCCGUAA